AACGAACGCUGGCGGCAUGCCUAACACAUGCAAGUCGAACGAGACCUUCGGGUCUAGUGGCGCACGGGUGCGUAACGCGUGGGAACCUGCCCUUAGGUUCGGAAUAACUCCCCGAAUGGGGUGCUAAUACCGGAUAAUGUCUUCGGACCAAAGAUUUAUCGCCUUUGGAUGGGCCCGCGUUGGAUUAGCUAGUUGGUAGGGUAAAAGCCUACCAAGGCGACGAUCCAUAGCUGGUCUGGGAGGAGGAUCAGCCACACUGGGACUACGACACGGCCCAGAAUCCUACGCAAGGGAGCAGAGGGUAACAUAGUACGCUGGACGCAGGCCUGAUCCAGCAGUGCCGGGUGAGAGAUGAUUGGGUUUGUGAAGUAAUGCUGUUUUAGCCGGGGUGUUAAUGACGGUACCGGGUGAAUAAGCACCGGCUAACUACGUG
rnacentral:rRNA from 1 species